rnacentral:rRNA from 1 species
AGAGUUUGAUCCUGGCUCAGGAUGAACGCUAGCUACAGGCUUAACACAUGCAAGUCGAGGGGCAGCAUGUCGGUUGCUUGCAACCGAUGAUGGCGACCGGCGCACGGGUGAGUAACGCGUAUCCAACCUACCCUUGUCCAUCGGAUAACCCGUCGAAAGGCGGCCUAACACGAUAUGCGGUUCACAGCAGGCAUCUAACGUGAACGAAAUGUGAAGGAGAAGGAUGGGGAUGCGUCUGAUUAGCUUGUUGGCGGGGUAACGGCCCACCAAGGCAACGAUCAGUAGGGGUUCUGAGAGGAAGGUCCCCCACAUUGGAACUGAGACACGGUCCAAACUCCUACGGGAGGCAGCAGUGAGGAAUAUUGGUCAAUGGACGAGAGUCUGAACCAGCCAAGUAGCGUGCAGGAUGACGGCCCUAUGGGUUGUAAACUGCUUUUAUAGGGGGAUAAAGUGUGCCACGUGUGGCAUAUUGCAGGUACCCUAUGAAUAAGGACCGGCUAAUUCCGUGCCAGCAGCCGCGGUAAUACGGAAGGUCCGGGCGUUAUCCGGAUUUAUUGGGUUUAAAGGGAGCGUAGGCCGUUUGGUAAGCGUGUUGUGAAAUGUCGGGGCUCAACCUGGGCAUUGCAGCGCGAACUGCCAGACUUGAGUGCGCAGGAAGUAGGCGGAAUUCGUCGUGUAGCGGUGAAAUGCUUAGAUAUGACGAAGAACUCCGAUUGCGAAGGCAGCCUGCUGUAGCGCAACUGACGCUGAAGCUCGAAAGCGUGGGUAUCGAACAGGAUUAGAUACCCUGGUAGUCCACGCGGUAAACGAUGGAUGCUCGCUGUUUGCGUCUGACGUAAGCGGCCAAGCGAAA